rnacentral:lncRNA from 1 species
UUCCACUAAUCACUUCUCAAACUAUCAACACGGUAAAAAUUCCACUUUCGCUAGAAGACACUUUUCACAUUACUUUCGGCUUUUUAAUGUCUACCACUUUCUUGCAAAAACUAACCUCUUAUCCAUGAUUACCGUAUUCACGAUUGCAUGCAGUAAUUGACCAUCAAAUCUGGUUGAUCAUUAUUUAGCCACUGACAUUACGCUCUAAAAUUUGACUCAGCAUGCCUCUGUUUAGCCAAGAGAGAACUGAUUUACAUGGGUCUAACCUUUCGCACGCCUUUAGCACCAUCUGCUGCUGGAGGCCCUCUUGAUAAAACUUGACAGGCCCUCUUGUUUCUGUGAGGCCUCAUUUGAUAUCGGUUUUUGCUUCCUGUUUUUUGUUUGCAAAAACCGGAAGGAAAUGAAGAAGAGUGUAAGAAGCUUUUGCUAGCAAAGAUUAAAUACUUUCAGAUAAGAGUGAAGAUAAAAGCAACUAGUAGCAGAGGUUCCGGCAAAUGCCAUCUGCUUUCUCAAGAAACAGAAACAGAAACAGA